rnacentral:lncRNA from 11 species
GCUGGGUUUAACUAGUUAUAAGGAGCUAGCCUGGAGACUGGUCUUUGGGAGAAAAGGUAUUGGUUUUAUUUUGGCUGUGUAUGCUCCUGGUUUCCCCCAGGUUUGUGGAUUUUUGAUAUCCUGACCUGUCUCCUGAACUCUUGGAACAUUUAAUCUCUGGGCUGGCUAUUGACUACAGUAUAAACUCUUGUUCCUUGGACUUCAAGCAUUGAACUCUCGGCGUUUGACUACUGGACUGGACCUUUAUGACUAUGGUGUUUUCUCGAAUCUGCAUUGGCGUUUGCUAUCAGCUUUGUUUUAUUAUCUGUUGCUGAGUGCUAUCUUUAUGUUUUACAUUUGGACUAUGAAAACAGCCAGACAGAGAAGAGAACGACAAUGUGGAUGCUUUUCUGGUAACCUCUCCAGUCUUCCCAAACUAGUUUAUAGAAAGUUCAU